GCCUGGGUGGCUCAGUGGGUUGAGCGUCUGACUUCGGCUCAGAUCAUGAUCUCAUGGUUCGUGAGUUUGAGCCCCGCAUCGGGCU
rnacentral:tRNA from 1 species